ACUGCUCAGUAACACGUGGAUAAUCUGCCCUCAGGUGAGGAAUAAUCCCGGGAAACUGGGGCUAAUGCCUCAUAGGAGACAGGUGCUGGAAUGCUCUGUCUCUGAAAGGCCCGCCGCCUGAGGAUGAGUCUGCGUCCGAUUAGGUAGUUGUUGGGGUAACGGCCCAACAAGCCUUUGAUCGGUACGGGUUGUGGGAGCAAGAGCCCGGAGAUGGAUUCUGAGACAUGAAUCCAGGCCCUACGGGGCGCAGCAGGCGCGAAAACUUUACAAUGCGAGCAAUCGUGAUAAGGAAACCCUGAGUGCCUGUCAAUGCAGGCUGUUCUGGUGUCUAACACACACCAGGAGAAAGGGCGGGGCAAGACCGGUGCCAGCCGCCGCGGUAAUACCGGCUGCUCGAGUGAUAGCCACUUUUACUGGGCUUAAAGCGUUCGUAGCUUGGUCGUUAAGUCUCUGGGGAAAUCUUUUGGCUCAACCAAAAGGCGUCUCAGGGAAACUGGCGAUCUUGGAACCGGGAGAGGUAAGACGUACUUCGGGGGUAGGAGUGAAAUCUUGUAAUCCCCGAGGGACGACCGAUGGCGAAGGCAUCUUACCAGAACGGCUUCGACAGUGAGGGACGAAAGCUGGGGGAGCAAACCGGAUUAGAUACCCGGGUAGUCCCAGCCGUAAACGAUGUGCGUUAGGUGUGUCAGUGACCACGAGUCGCUGAGUGCCGAAAGGGAAACCGUGAAACGCACCGCCUGGGAAGUACGGUCGCAAGGCUGAAACUUAA
rnacentral:rRNA from 1 species